GAUGAACGCUGGCGGCGUGCCUAAUACAUGCAAGUCGAGCGAACGGACGAGAAGCUUGCUUCUCUGAUGUUAGCGGCGGACGGGUGAGUAACACGUGGAUAACCUACCUAUAAGACUGGGAUAACUUCGGGAAACCGGAGCUAAUACCGGAUGAUAUUUUGAACCGCAUGGUUCAAAAGUGAAAGACGGUCUUGCUGUCACUUAUAGAUGGAUCCGCGCUGCAUUAGCUAGUUGGUAAGGUAACGGCUUACCAAGGCAACGAUGCAUAGCCGACCUGAGAGGGUGAUCGGCCACACUGGAACUGAGACACGGUCCAGACUCCUACGGGAGGCAGCAGUAGGGAAUCUUCCGCAAUGGGCGAAAGCCUGACGGAGCAACGCCGCGUGAGUGAUGAAGGUCUUCGGAUCGUAAAACUCUGUUAUUAGGGAAGAACAUAUGUGUAAGUAACUGUGCACAUCUUGACGGUACCUAAUCAGAAAACCACGGCUAACUACGUG
rnacentral:rRNA from 1 species